CGCAACGCGAUCUGUGAUACUUUUUUGCGCCGUUGAAUGUCACUCGGUUUAAUGGGAGUUUGCUUAAUAUUUAACUGCGUUUUCCAUAAACUAAAAAAACACGCACUGUUUUUCGGUUGCUUUGUAAAGUUAAUCACUGAUAGUAACUGUUGUUGUGGUUUUUUGUUGUGCCCAUGUAUGAUUUAUCUGUUCAUCUCUCUUAUUAUUACUCUGCUUUCUUUCUGUCUUUCUGUCUUCGCUUGUUCCUCUUUCGCGAGCACUGGUGCACGUUUCGUCGUCUGCCUCGUCGAGCGCUUGUCAGUGAAAUGAAUGGGCCGCCACACGGCUCCGCACGUUUUGUGUACUUGACGUGAGUGUGUACGGGUGAAAGAGUGGGCCCGUGGGAGCAGAGAGUGGGCUCAGGCAACGCUACAUUACAGAGCACCAAGAGAGAGAGAGAACGGCAGGGCUGAGUGCAUCGAAAAUGAGAUACCUGGUAGUCGGAUUGAGCUUCUGGAAUUUGCCAUUGCAUCAUUGAGAUACGGAUACAAAAACCCAGAAGAACAACAAUACUCUCCAAGAUCGAAGUUUCCAUAUAUGUAGGGUAGACACACCUGU
rnacentral:sRNA from 1 species